rnacentral:SRP_RNA from 1 species
ACUGGGUGUGGUGGCCCGAGCCUGUAAUUCCAUCUACUCGGGAGGCUGAGGCAGGAGGAUUGCUUGAGCCCAGGAGUUCUGGGCUGUAGUGUAUAUGCGUAUCAGGUGUCUGCACAAAGUUUGGCAUCAAUAUGGUGACCUCCCAGGAGUGGGGGACCAGAAGGUUGCCUUAAAGAGGGGUGAACAGGCCCAGGUCAGAAAUGGAGCAGGUCAAAACUCCCGUGCUGAUCAUAGCAUUUUGUACCUCAUAAUACCCUACCCAUAUUUUGUCCCUCCCCACUU